AUCCAGCUGGAGAACGAGUCCCAAAUAGGACGAAAUACGCGUUAUCCUGGAU
rfam:Trichobilharzia regenti genome assembly, scaffold: TRE_scaffold0024365